rnacentral:ncRNA from 1 species
AUCUACCUAAGAUAAAGGAGCUGAUAUCAGGCUCUAUAAUUCGCCCAAAACAUCUAGUUAUACCACACCCCCAAGGGUCUUCAGCAGUGAUUAACAUUAAAAAUUAACGUCAGUUUGAUUUAGUCAAUGAAAACGGAGCCGGCCAAUCUGGUGCCAGCCGCCGCGGUUACACCACGUGGCUCAAAUUGAUUCUAUUCGGCGUAAAGCGUGAUUAAAAAAAAUACCUCUCUAGGGUUAAGCUUCAACUAAGCUGUUACACGCUUGUUUCCUGAAAAUCCAUACUUCGUAAGAUACCCUACUACACCAAUUUGAAUUCACGACAACUAGGGCACAAACUGGGAUUAGAUACCCCACUAUGCCUAGUCAUAAACUUUAACUUACACCAAUCUCGCCUGGGAACUACGAGCAAAGCUUAAAACCCAAAGGACUUGACGGUGCCCCAUAUCCCCCUAGAGGAGCCUGUCCUAUAAUCGAUAACCCCCGUUUAACCUCACCACUUUUAGCUAUUCAGCCUGUAUACUUCCGUCGUCAGCUUACCGCGUGAGCGAAAAAGUAAGCUUAAUGGCCCACCUACACCAACACGUCAGGUCAAAGUGCAGUUAAUAAAGUGGGAAGAGAUGGGCUACACUUUCUACCUUAGAAAAUACGAAAAAUUAUAUGAAACUAUAAUUAGAAGGCGGAUUUAGUAGUAAAAAGAAAAUAUUAUAUUCUUUUUAACCCGCACUGGAGCGCGUACACACCGCCCGUCACCCUCUUCAACAAAUCCUGAUAGAUAGUAUUUAACAUAUAUUUUUAAACUAGAAGAGGUAAGUCGUAACAUGGUAAGUAUACCGGAAGGUAUGCUUGGAAU